AUGUUUCUCAGAAGUUCUGUUGUCAGCAUCACCUGUCCCAUCAAAGACUGGUCAGACCAUCUCUCUCUCUCUCUGUCUCUCUGUCUCUGUCUCUCUCUUUUCUCUAUCCCCUCUGUCUAUCUUUCUAAAAUAAACAGUACAAAAUUAACAGUAAACGAUACACUCGCAAAAGGAAUAGAGACAGUUCAUAUGUCAUAUUAUGUCUAUAUACAGUGUUGUAAUGAUGUGCAAAUAGUCUCUCUCUCUUCUCUUUACCCUUUAUCUCUCUCUCAUUUUCUCUCUCUCUCUCCCUCCCUCCCCUCUAUCCCUGUCUAUAUCUCUCUUUGCUCUCUGCUUCUCUCUCUCUCUCUGUUCCCCCCCUCUCUCUGUUCCCUACCUCUCUCUCUGUUCCCUACCUCUCUCUCUGUUCCCUCCCUCUCUCUGCCUUCUCUCUCUCUCUGUUUCCUACCUCUCUCUCUGUUCCCUACCUCUCUCUCUGUCCCCUACCUCUCUCUCUGUUCUCUACCUCUCUGUUCCCUACCUCUCUCUCUGUUCCCUCCCCCUCUCUGCCUCUUUCUCUCUCUGUUCCCUACCUCUCUCUCUGUUCCCUACCUCUCUCUCUGUUCCCUACCUCUCUCUCUGUUCUCUACCUCUCUCUGUUCCCUACCUCUCUCUCUGUUCCCUCCCCCUCUCUGCCUCUUUCUCUCUCUGUUCCCUACCUCUCUCUCUGUUCACUACCUCUCUCUCUGUUCCCUACCUCUCUCUCUCUCUCUGUUCCCUCCUCUCUCUCUCUGUUCCCUCCCUCUCUCUCUGUUCCCUACCCCUCUCUCUGUUCCCUACCUCUCUCUCUGUGCCGUCUCUCUCUGUUCCCUCCCUCUCUCUCUGUUCCCUCCCCCUCUCUCUGUUCCCUCCCUCUCUCUCUGUUCCCUCCCCCUCUCUCUGUUCCCUCCCUCUCUCUCUGUUCCCUACCUCUCUCUCUGUGCCAUCUCUCUCUGUUCCCUCCCUCUCUCUCUGUUCCAUCCCUCUCUCUGCCUUCUCUCUCUCUCUGUUCCCUCCCUCUCUCUCUGUUCCCUCCCUCUCUCUGUUCCCUCCCUCUCUCUCUGUUCCCUCCCUCUCUCUCUGUUCCCUCUCUCUCUGUUCCCUCUCUCUCUGUUCCCUCUCUCUCUCUGUUCCCUCGCUCUCUCUCUGUUCCCUCCCUCUCUCUCUGUUCCCUCCCUCUCUCUCUGUUCCCUACCUCUCUCUCUGUUCCCUCCCCCUCUCUCUGUUCCCUCCCCCUCUCUAUGUUCCCUCCCCCUCUCUCUGUUCCCUCCCUCUCCAUCUGUUCCCUCCCUCUCUCUCUGUUCCCUCCCCCUCUCUCUGUUCCCUCCCUCUCUCUCUGUUCCCUCCCUCUCUCUGCCUUCUCUCUCUCUCUGUUCCCUCCCUCCCUCUCUGUUCCCUACCUCUCUCUCUAUUCCCUCCCCCCCCCUCUCUGUUCCCUCCCCCUCUCUCUGUUCCCUACCUCUAUCGCUGUUCCCUCCCUCUCGCUCUGUUCCCUCCCUCUCUCUCUGUUCCCUACCUCUCUCUCUGUUCCCUACCUCUCUCUCUGUGCCAUUUCUCUCUGUUCCCUCCCCCUUUCUCUCGCUGUUCCCUCCCUCUCUCUCUGUUCCCUACCUCUCUCUCUGUGCCAUCUCUCGCUGUUCCCUCCCCCUCUCUCUGUUCCCUCGCUCUCUCUCUCUGUUCCCUCCUCCCCUCUCUGUUCCCUCCCCCUCUCUCUGUUCCCGCCCCCUCUCUCUGUUCCCUCCCCCUCUCUCUGUUCCCUACCUCUCUCUCUGUUCCCUCCCCCUCUCUCUGUUCCCUCGCUCUCUCUUUGUUCCCUCCCCCUCUCUCUGUUCCAUCUCUCUCUGUUCCCUCCCUCUCUCUCUGUUCCCUCCCCCUCUCUCUGUUCCCUCCCCCUCUCUCUGUUCCCUCUCUCUCUCUCUGUUCCCUCCCCCUCUCUCUGUUCCCUCUCUCUCUCUGUUCCCUCUCUCUCUCUCUGUUCCCUCCCUCUCUCUCUGUUCCCUCUCUCUCUCUGUUCCCUCGCUCUCUCUCUGUUCCCUCCCUCUCUCUCUGUUCCCUCCCCCUCUCUCUGUUCCCUCCCCCUCUCUCUGUUCCCUCCCCGUCUCUCUCUGUUCCCUCCCCCUCUCUCUGUUCCCUCCCUCUCUCUCUGUUCCCUCCCCCUCUCUCUGUUCCCUCCCCCUCUCUCUGUUCCCUCCCCCUCUCUCUGUUCCCUCCCUCUCUCUCUGUUCCCUCCCCCUCUCUCUGUUCCCUCCCUCUCUCUCUGUUCCCUCUCUCUCUCUCUGUUCCCUCCCUAUCUCUCUGUUCCCUCCCUCUCUCUCUGUUCCCUCCCUCUCUCUCUGUUCCCUCCCUCUCUCUCUGUUCCCUCUCUCUCUGUUCCCUCGCUCUCUCUCUGUUCCCUCCCUCUCUCUCUGUUCCCUCUCUCUCUCUGUUCCCUCGCUCUCUCUCUGUUCCCUCCCUCUCUCUCUGUUCCCUCUCUUCAUUUUGACUAUAUUUUUGUUUAGUGAGGCUCAUCUAGUUGGAUGUCUGCCAUUAUCCAUGAUGUUACGGCAGGUCAGGGAAGAAAUCAAUAGCCGUAACAUCAAUACAACAUUUACAUUUUCUACUACGCACCAAACACUGUUGACAGGGUAA
rnacentral:lncRNA from 1 species